AUUAGACGAAUCAUCUGGAAAGAUGAAUCAAAGAAGGUAAUAAUCCUGUAGUCGAAAAUGUUGUCUCUCUUGAGUGGAUCCUGAGUACGACGGAGCACGUGAAAUUCCGUCGGAAUCUGGGAGGACCAUCUCCUAAGGCUAAAUACUCUCUAGUGACCGAUAGUGAACCAGUACCGUGAGGGAAAGGUGAAAAGCACCCCGGAAGGGGAGUGAAAUAGAACCUGAAACCGUGUGCUUACAAGUAGUCAGAGCCCGUUAAUGGGUGAUGGCGUGCCUUUUGUAGAAUGAACCGGCGAGUUACGAUUUGAUGCAAGGUUAAGCAGUAAAUGUGGAGCCGUAGCGAAAGCGAGUCUGAAUAGGGCGUUUAGUAUUUGGUCGUAGACCCGAAACCAGGUGAUCUACCCUUGGUCAGGUUGAAGUUCAGGUAACACUGAAUGGAGGACCGAACCGACUUACGUU
rnacentral:rRNA from 1 species